rnacentral:rRNA from 1 species
CACGUAGGGUGCGAGCGUUGUCCGGAAUUAUUGGGCGUAAAGAGCUCGUAGGCGGUGUGUCGCGUCGGCCGUGAAAACCUGCAGCUUAACUGUGGGCUUGCGGUCGAUACGGGCAUCACUGGAGUUCGGCAGGGGAGACUGGAAUUCCUGGUGUAGCGGUGAAAUGCGCAGAUAUCAGGAGGAACACCGGUGGCGAAGGCGGGUCUCUGGGCCGAUACUGACACUGAGGCACGAAAGCCAAGGGAGCAAACAGG